GUACUUGUUUGGGCAGUACAUAUACUAAAAUUGGAACGAUACAGAGAAGAUUAGCAUGGCCCUCGUGCUAGGAUAAAACCAAACAAAGUGAACAGUGUGCAUCCACCUGUCU